rnacentral:lncRNA from 1 species
AAUGCCCUCAAAGGAAGUAACAUUGAAAUAGUUCUUGAUGUCCCAAAUCAAGAUCUUGAAGCCCUAGCCAAUCCUUCAAGUGCCAAUGGUUGGGUUCAAAAUAAUAUAAUAAGUCAUUUCCCAGAUGUUAAAUUCAAAUAUAUAGUCGUUGAAAAUGAAGUUGAUCCUGGUAGAGAUAGUGGUAAAUAUGCACGAUUUGUUGGUCCAGCAAUGGAAAAUAUUUACAAUGCGUUAUCAUCAGCAGGGUUGCAAAAUCAAAUCAAGGUCUCAACAUCGACAUAUUCAGGGCUCUUAACCAACACCUACCCACCAAGUGCUAGUAUUUUUCGCGAAGAAUACAAAAGCUUCAUUAAUCCCAUAAUCCAAUUUCUAAUACAAAAAAAACUUCCACUCUUAGUCAAUAUUUACCCUUAUUUUGGCCAUAUUUAUAACACUAACGUUCCUCUUUCUUAUGCACUUUUCAACGAUCAAGUGACUAAUUUCGCGGGAUAUCAAAAUCUUUUCGAUGCCCUUUUGGAUUCAAUGUAUUUUGCUAUGGAGAAACUUUUGGAUACAAUAUUGAAAUUAUUGUAUCGGAAAGUGGUUGGCUUCUGAGGGACACCCUGCAGCAACUUUGAAAAAUGAGAGGACUUAUUAUACGAAUUUGAUUAAUCAUGUGAAAAGAGGGGCUGGAACACCAAAGAAACCUGGAAGGACCAUAGAAACUUAUUUAUUCGCCAUGUUUGAUGAAAAUGAAAAGAUGGGAGAUGAAAGUGAGAAACAUUUUGGACUCUUUUAUCCUGAUCAGAGGCCAAAGUAUCAACUCAAUUUUAAUUAAUGAUAGCAUAUUAUAAUUAUAUAUGAAUAAUAAGGAGAAAUGGUAUGUUUUUAUCUUUCAAUAAAUGAUGGUAUAUUUAAUUAAUAUGUAGUGAGAAAAUGUAUGGCCUCUUUUGUGUUCCUUGAUAUCAAAAUUAAUAUUAAGUAUUUUAAUUGAAAGGGUGUGUCUUUUAUUCUUUGGUUAUAACCAUCAAUUUUAUUUAAAUCCAACUAUGGAAAAUUGCAACGUAACUUUAACAGAGUAUCUUACUCUAUAAUAUUCCUCAAAGAAUUCUUUUAUUCUCCAGAAAGAUCAAGUUUAUAUUUUCAAAACUUCAUCUUUGUGUUCAUAUAAAUUUUGUGUUCUUGGUAUAUAUUUAUCAACUCUCUGUUUCAAUUUAUUUGUCUGAUUUUGAUUUUGAUUUCACAUGAAGUUUAAGAAAGUAAAGAAAACUUUUCAAUUUUGUUAAUUAAAGGUAUGUAGAUACCAACAUGUCCUUUAAUUUUGUGAUCUUAAACAUGUUAUAUGGAAAGUUAAAAUUAAAGAGUUGUCAAAAAAGGAAAGAAACACCCAAAAAGUACCAGGACGGGGUCACCGGGUUCACGUGAACCCAUGCUCCCCUCCUGAAAUCAUAUAUAGUAGUAUUAUAUAUUUUUUUAAAUAUUUAAAUAUAUAUAUGUGAACUCAUAGUUGAAGUAUCAUACCGUGCGCUUAUGAUUGGGUGCACCUCUCUAAGUGAUGUUGGAAAUUUUAAUCUUUUAUUUAUGUCGUAUUAUUUUCCUUUCUAAAAUUGGGUAACGCCUCUCUAAGUGGUUUGGAUAGGUAAAAAUAAUUUUGGACCUAUAAUUUUAAAAUUUUAAUUAUUUUUAGUGAUAAGAACCUAAAUGUUAAACCGAUCAAAUUUAUAUCUAUAUUCCAUCUUUACGUAAUAGUGCACUUAUCAUCUCAAAAUCCUGGAUACGCGCUUUCAAUCUUUUAUUUCUUUUUAAAUGGACUAAAAAUAAAAUAAAUAAAUUGAAAGAAGUGGAGUAUAAAUAUAUUUUCUUAACGAUGAUAGUUAUAUUAGACAUGCAAAAUUGCUCAAUUUCACUUGAUAUAAAAUAAUUUGACCUUUUCCUUGUAUUGAAUGGAAUAAGCCAUUAUUCUCGUAUCGUAAAAUUCAUUCACUCCAUCACAUUAGUAAAUUUGAACUUUCUACAUAUGUUCAGAAUUUGAGGACGAUGGGUGCACUAUUAAAUGUGAAUGCGUGUUAUGUUAAAUUUUGACACCUCGAUAAAUUUUUUUGUCAAACAAGUAUAAAAUCAAAGGUAUCAGUUAAUAUAAAUUAAACAAAAAUGUAAUAUCGUUCAAUGGGUGAUUUGAUGAUCUCGACCCUCAAUGUAUUUGAGGUUGCUAGUUCGAGUCUGACUUGACUUUUUUACAUGUGGCAUUGGACUAGUGCACCAAAUGAGCUUUUAUGUUUAAGAGUGCACAAUUAAAUCUAUGGUCGUUGUUUAGGUAUACACAUAAGUGUUUUCGAAGUUAACGGAUGCAAGUGCAUCCCCUUUCUCAAACGUGGAUCUAUUUAUGGUUGAACAUCCUGACAACUCCCUAGAUCCGUCCCUGUUGACAAGGUAACUUGUUUUGCUUCUAGAUUGUCGUCACUAAUUUCUUUCAAGAUAGAUUCAAAAUUUGUAAUUUAUGAGUGUUUACAAUAAUCACAAAUUCUAUAUAUAUACAAUAACUAUGGGGUUCACAAAAAAAUAAAUCAUAUAUACUUACUAAAUUUCUUACAAUUAAAUGAGUAGACUUCACAUGUACAUUUUCUAUGAGAAGAAAAAGUACAAGUUUACCCUUAAACUAUUGAGUAUAGUUUAAAAUCAACCAUUUUUUUCUCAUUUUUUUUCCAUCACCUACUCUAGAUUGGAAAUUUCUUCAUCCCCAUUAGAUACGUUUAUAUGACUUGAUUAUUCUACAUGACUAAAUUUUACUAUUAAUUGAACUUCUUAGGGUAAACUUGACUUAGUUUUUUUUUUCCACACUACAUUUCUUAUUUUUGUCUAUAUAAGAAAUAAUUUGAUGUUUCCUUAACACACAAUUUCACCUCAAAUAUUUCUUACUCUUCGCAAUUCCAAUUUUGCUAUGUCUUUUCUAAGUUUUGUUGGAGCUUCCUUUUUACUUGUUGGGCUGUUAAUCCAAAUGACAGGUCUCUCUCUCUCUCUCUCUAACAUACACACUAGUAAUGUAUUUUUACACUAUAUAUUAACAAUAACAUAUUACAAUAUCGUAGCAGAUUAUCUAUCUUAUUUACUAGGCUAUUGAUCUCAGUUACUAUAAAUAGUUAGGGGUAUUUAAUUCUAGAUGACUUGAUAGUAUAAAAAUUCUUUCGAUGUUGGUGUAAAUGAGUUAAAAAAUUCUAGUUAAAAAGCACUUCAUAUUUUUUUUAAAUUAGGAGGGUCCUAUUGGUGAGGACAUAAAGGAUGAUAAAUCUACGUAACUAAGCAAACAUAACUACUAUAUGUAUUAAUCAAGCAAUACUUUUAAAAAGUAUCUAACUAUACUCGAGAUUUUAUGGCAAAUUUCUCCUCUCUCUUCCUCUCUCGCUUGACACUCUCCUCCCUCUUUCUCCCUUCCCCUUUCCUCUCACAUUUCCUUCUUGCCCUCUCUCUUUCACACUUAUAAUUCAUUGCGUGAAUCUUUCUUCUUAUCCUUCUAUCGUUCUCAUAUCAAUACAAAAUUCCAUUAAAGCGCUACAUGAAUUAUUGAUUUUUUUAUAUAUGUGCUUCUUGAUCUUCAAUAUUUUCUAGGUGGCUGCUAAUUGUUGAUUCAUUUUUAUUGGAUUAAUGCUGGUAUAUAAAAAAUUCCCGGGUUCUUGAUUUGUUGUUCACUGUUUGAAUAUUCUAUAUUGAUACAAUCAAUUGUAUAUGUAUCAGAAAAAUGAUACAGUUAUUAUCAAAGUGUAUCUUCUUCGAUUGAUACAACCAAUUGUAUAUAUGUAUCAAAUUUUUUUUGAUAAAGUUAUUAUCAAAAUAUAUUUUCUUUGAUUGAUACAUAUUGAUACAUCCAAUUGUAUCUAUGUAUCAGAAAAAUUAUAAAAAUUGAUAUAACUAUUAUCUGAAUAGAUUUGUGUGUAGAAAAAUCGGAUACAACUAUUAUAGGAAAGUACUGUAUCUCUGUAUAUUUAUUUUAGGGCUGAUGUUUCAAUUUCAAAACUAAUAUGUGCAUUUGUGUAGUUGUGUGCGAGAUUGAGAAAGGAGAGGUGAGAGCAAGAUUUGUGUGUGAGAGAGAUAGAGAAAGAGAGGAGAUUGUGUAUCUCAAUUUCAAUUAAGAAACAAAUUGUUUCUAAGAUACAAUAUGCUCGCCUCUCUCCUCCAUCUCUCCCAAUCUCACUCGUCUCUCUUUCAUCUCUAAAUUUGUUGUUAUGAAUUGUGAUUAGAUAAACUACACCUAUUAUUUAUAAUUAUAGUCCGAACUAUAACUAUUUGUCAUUAUAAUGUAGGAGCACAAUCUAUUGGAGUAUGCUAUGGAAAAAUUGCCAACAAUUUACCAUCAGAUCAAGAUGUCAAAAACCUAUACAAUUCUAAUGGCAUUAAAAAGAUGAGAAUUUACUAUCCAGACACAAAUGUCUUCAAUGCUCUCAAAGGAAGUGACAUUGAAAUAAUUCUUGAUGUCCCAAAUCAAGAUCUUGAAGCCCUAGCCAAUCCUUCAAGUGCCAAUGGUUGGGUUCAAGAUAAUAUAAUAAGUAAUUUUCCAGAUGUUAAAUUCAAAUAUAUAGCCGUUGGAAAUGAAGUUGAUCCUGUUAAAUUCAAAUAUAUAGCCGUUGGAAAUGAAAUUGAUCCCGAUACAAAUACCGGUCAAUAUACACAAUAUGUUGGUCCAGCAAUGGAAAAUGUUUACAACGCAUUAACAUCAGCAGGAUUGCAAGAUCAAAUCAAUGUCUCAACCGCGACAUAUUUAGGACUAUUAACAAACACCUACCCACCAAGUGAUAGUAUUUUUCGCGAAGAAUACAAAAGCUUCAUUAAUCCCAUAAUCGAAUUUCUAGCACGAAAUAACCUCCCACUCUUAGCCAAUAUUUACCCUUAUUUUGGCCAUAUUGAUAACACUAACGACGUUCCUCUUUCUUAUGCACUUUUCAACGAUCAAGGGACUAAUUCUGCGGGAUAUCAAAAUCUUUUUGAUGCCCUUUUGGAUUCAAUGUAUUUUGCUACGGAGAAACUUGGAGGACAAAAUAUUGAGAUCAUUGUAUCGGAAAGUGGUUGGCCUUCUGAAGGACACCCUGCAAUAACUUUGGAAAAUGCACAAACUUAUUAUACGAAUUUGAUUAAUCAUGUGAAAGGAGGGGUUGGAACACCAAAGAAACCAGGAAGGGCAAUAGAAACUUAUUUAUUCGCCAUGUUUGAUGAAAAUCAAAAGGAUGGACAAUCAAGUGAGCAACAUUUUGGACUCUUUUAUCCAGAUCAGAGGGCAAAGUAUCAACUCAAUUUCAAUUGAUGAUACCAUAUUAUGAUUAAUAUAUAGUGCUAUGAAUAAUAAGGAGAAAUUUGUGUGUCUUUCUCCUCAAUAAAAUGAUAGCACAUACCUCAUAAUUAAUAUGUGUUGACAAAUGUACGGCCUAUUGUGUAACCUUGAUAUCAAUAUAUGUUACAUAUACUUAAAAAUCCAUUUGACUUUAUGUUAUAUUCAACCUGAUUAAGUACCUAGAAUUACUGUGUAAAUAUACAAUUAUAACAAAUUUCUAGUAAUUUAUAAAGAACUUUUAUUUUAUUUACCAAUUUUUAAGACUGUCAAUAGUUUAGAAACAAAACUAAUAAUUUGAACCCAAUCCGGGAGUACUUUCAAUACUUUUCUUUUAACAUUAAAGAAGUACACCCUUUUUUCUUAGUACUGCUUAAUUUUAACAUUGAAAUAACUGAGUAAGGCUGAAAAGAUGGAGACUUGCAGUUUGUACUUGCUGUAUUUGAUGUACAUUGAACUCUAAUUUCAAACAUGGAAACUUUCAAUUUACACUUGAUAUUUUGAUUCAUGGAAGUUUCAAAAAACUAAAAACACUAUAACAUGCAAACAGUUACGUCCUCCAUUUGCUUUUACUUGUCGGGUCCGGAAUCGGGAAUUGGAUCUUAAAUUGGAGUGGGGAGUUGUGUCUUGGAUCAAAGUCGGUGUUAUAGUAUUUGAUCAAAUAUUUAUACCUUAAUGUUCAAUAUUUUCGAAAAAACCCAAAUUUUACUAGCUUGAUUUGGUUUAUAAAUUUAAAAUAUUUUUCACAAAUGGCUUGAUUUGAUAUUUGAAAAACCCGAACCAACCCGGUCAUAUACACCCCUAAUUACAACAAUCAAAAUUCUAUAUACAAUAACUAUUGGGUUCAAAAAAAAAAAAAUUCUAACAAUUAAAUGAGUAGACUUCACAUGUCCAUGUUCUUUGAGAAGAAAAAGUACAAGUUUACCCUUACACUAUUGAGUAUAGUUUAAAAUCAACCAUUUUUUUCUCAUUUUUUUCCCAUCACCUACUCUAGAUUAGAAAUUUCUUCAUCCCCCAUUAGAUACGUUUAUAUGACUAAAUUUCACUAUCAAGUGAACUUCUUCUUAGGGUAAACUUGACUUAGUUUUUUUUUUCCACACUGCUUUUCUUCUUUUUGUCUAUAUAAGAAGUAAUUUGAUGUUUCCUUGACACACAAUUUUACCUCUAAUAUUUCUUACUCUUUUCAAUUCCAAUUUUGCUAUGUCUUUUCAAAGUUUUCUUGUAGCUUCCCUUUUACUUGUUGGUCUGUUAAUCCAAAUGACAGGUCUCUCUCUCUCUUACAUACACACUAAUAAUGUAUUUUUACAUUAUAUAUUAAGAGUAACAUAUUAUAAUAUCAUAGCAGAUUAUCUAUUUUAUUGACUAGGCUAUUGAUCUCAGUUACUAUAAAUAGUUAGGGGUAUUUACUUCUAGGUGACCUAAUAGUAUAACAAUUCUUCUGAUGUUGGUGUAAAUGAGUUUAAAAUUCUAUAAAAAAGCACUUCAUAUUUUUCAAAAUUAAGAGGGUCCUAUUGCCGAGGACAUAAAGGAUGAUAAAUCUACAUAACUAAGCAAAACAUAAUUACUGUAUAUACUUAAUUAAGCGGUACUUAAAUUUUCUUUUUUUUAUCUAUCAUAGCUAUUCUUGGAAUUUUAUAACUAAUCUCUUUUCCCUUUUCUUGUUUUGCUCACCACUCUCCUCUCACAUUUUUUUCUCGCCCUCUCUCUGCCUCUCUACAAUUUAUUGCAUGAAUCUUUCUUCUUAUCCUUAUAUGUUUCUUAUAUAUUAAUACAAAACUCAAUUAAUCUUUACCUGAAUUAUUAAUUUUUAUCUACAUGUGUUUCUUGAUCUUCAAUAUUUUCUAUGUGACUUGCCAAUUAUUGAUUCAUUUUUAUUGGAUUAAUGUCGGUAUAUCAAAAAUUCCCAUUAUGGGUUCUUGAUUUGUUGUUCAAUGUUUGAAUCUCUUAUUCUUCUUAGAUUGAUACAACCAAUUGUAUAUAUGUAUCAGAAAAAAUGAUACAGUUAUUAUCAAAGUGUAUCUUCUUCGAUUGAUACAACCAAUUCUAUAUAUGUAUCAGAAAAAAUGAAACAAUUAUUAUCAAUGUAUAUCUUCUUUAAUAGAUACAUAAUGAUACAUCCAAUUGAUCUACGUAUCAAAAAACAAUAUAAAAAUUGAUAUAGCUAUUAUUUGACUAGAUAUAUAUAAAAAAACUAAUACAAUUAUUAUAAAAAAAAUACUGUAUUUAUAUAUUUAUUUUCGGGAUGAUAUUCAAACAUUGUAUCAAUAUUUUUUAUCAUUUGUAUAUCACAAUAAAUUGAUACAGAUGUGUAUUUAUUUUAAGGGUGAUACAAUAUGUAUAUGCCUAUCUAUAUUUCAAUUUCAAAACUAAUAUGUGCAUUUGAGUAUCUGUGUGCAAGAUUGAGAGAGGAGAAAUGACAGCGAGAUUUGGGAAAGAUAGAGAGAAAGAGAAGAGAUUGUGUAUAUGUGUAUCUUAGUUUCAAUUAAGAUAUACAAGUGGUUUCUAAGAUACAACAUGCUUGCCUCUCUCCUCUAUCUCUCCUGAUCUUGCUUGUCUCUCUUCUAUCACUCUUUAUCCCGCUCUCCUCUUUCCUUUCUUAUUUUGAUGAAUUGUGAAUAGAUAAACAAUACUAUUUAUAAUUAUAGUCCAAACUAUAACUAUUUAUCAUUAUAAUGUAGGAGCACAACCUAUUGGAGUAUGCUAUGGAAAAUUUGCAAACAAUUUGCCAUCAGAUCAAGAUGUCAAAAACCUAUACAAUUCUAAUGGCAUUAAAAAGAUGAGAAUUUACUAUCCAGACACAAAUGUCUUCAAUGCUCUCAAAGGAAGUGACAUUGAAAUAAUUCUUGAUGUCCCAAAUCAAGAUCUUGAAGCCCUAGCCAAACCUUCAAGUGCCAAUGGUUGGGUUCAAGAUAAUAUAAUAAGUAAUUUUCCAGAUGUUAAAUUCAAAUAUAUAGCCGUUGGAAAUGAAGUUGAUCCUGAAACAAAUACCGGUCAAUAUGCACAAUUUGUUGGUCCAGCAAUGAAAAAUGUUUACAACGCGUUAACAUCAGCAGGAUUGCAUGAUCAAAUUAAGGUCUCAACCGCGACAUAUUCAGGGCUCUUAACAAACACCUACCCACCAAGUGCUAGUAUUUUUCACGAAGAAUACAAAAGCUUCAUUAAUCCCAUAAUCGAAUUUCUAGCACGAAAUAACCUCCCACUCUUAGCCAAUAUCUACUCUUAUUUUGGCCAUAUUUAUAACACUAACGACGUUCCUCUUUCUUAUGCACUUUUCAACGAUCAAGGGACUAAUUCCGCGGGAUAUCAAAAUUUUUUUGAUGCCCUUUUGGAUUCAAUGUAUUUUGCUAUGGAGAAACUUGGAGGACAAAAUAUUGAGAUCAUUGUAUCGGAAAGUGGUUGGCCUUCUGAGGGACAUCCUGCAGCAACAUGGAAAUGCACAGACUUAUUAUACGAAUUUGAUUAAUCAUGUGAAAGGAGGGACUGGAACACUAAAGAAACCUGGAAGUACCAUAGAAACUUAUUUAUUCGCCAUGUUUGAUGAAAAUCAAAAGGAUGGACAACCAAGUGAGCAACAUUUUGGACUCUUUUAUCCAGAUCAGAGGGCAAAGUAUCAACUCAAUUUCAAUUGAUGAUACCAUAUUAUAAUUAAUAUAUAGUGCUAUGAAUAAUAAGGAGAAAUUUGUGUGCCUUUCUCCUCAGUAAAAUGAUAGCAUAUCUUAUAAUUAAUGUGUUGACAAAUGUACGGCCUCCUUGGCGUUUCCUUGAUAUGAAAAUAUAUAUAUGUUAUAUAUACUAAGAAAUACAUUUUUAAGAAA